CGGGGCAGUGUCCGCUGCCCUGCCGGCAGGUCGGGCAGGGCAGCCCGGGGCUGGGGCAGGGCAGCCCGGGGCUGGGGCCGAACCGAGCCAGGGCAAUCCCGGGCAUUGUAUGCUCCCCUCACCUGUAUCCGCGGUUGGAAGUCCGCGGCGGAAUGCGAUAGACGUUAACAUCGGACUUCACGCAGAGGACAGACUCAUACUCCAGCUCAGCCGCCGCCAUCUCGGCAGCGAUCUCUGGCAAGGAGAGCGAGGGGUGGGAGCCUAGUAACCAGGACCGCUUCCGACCGCCAUCUUUGAUGAAGGCGGACACAGCCUAAGGGUGCCGGGGCGGCAAAGCGAGGGACGUCGAAAGCGCGGAGGAAGUCAUCUUGGACCCUGGCAGCAGAGCGCGCGGGGGCGGGAUGGCGGCCAUCUUGGAGUCGGUUCUGACACAGCAGCGGGGAUCCGGCGCCAUCUUAGCGCCUGGCAGUUCCCCCCACGCAGCCUGGCGCGGCCAUGUUUGGUUCGGGCUGAUGAUAGUGGUGGUUGCCGUCCCGGACCGCAGUCGUGCCAGGAGCGGGAAGAACCGGGCGGCGUGCUGAGGAGGCCUGGAGCUGCACGGUGGGGGAGGGGGGCUGGGCCUGGCGAGGCCUUCAGCUGCUGGCCUGCCGCCAGGCUGCGGUGGCCCGGUGCGCAAGGCACUAGUGUCACGCCGAGAGCUGGGAAGCCACAGCUGGGUCGUGCCCAAACAAGGGGAUGGGGCGUGUGCCACCGCUCCAACAUCGCCCGGGGAGGGGAACCUUGUGGAUCCGUGCAUAUGCUCAGCAAUGUGGGGCUUUUAUUCCUGCAGCCUUGUGCCGAAGGUUGGGUUUUAAGUAAAGAUGGCUUUUUGAGUGGCCUGCGGUGGUGGGAUUGGGAGGCCUAUGGUAAAACAACAAACCGAAGAGAAAGCACGGCAUGAGUGGUUGCAAGUUUUGCAGCUAGAAGCAGUGAAGAUGCCAGCUACAGAAAAGUUAAUCUCAGGAGGUGUGGCUUUGCAGAAGUGCGUCCAAAAUAAGUGUACAGAUCCACGCUUAUUUAUGAAAGAUGGUCAGACUGGUAGCAUUUAAAUAGUUUUUUUUUUAAAUAGUGACUUCCCAAGGAAGACUGAUGCUGACAUUUACUGCUAUGCAGUAGCCUGUGAGACUGCAUAAGUGCUAAAUGCUGGAAAACUGGAGGAAAAGGCAUAAGAAAAGUUGGAAACAAGGUUAUAUACCAACAGCCAGGGGUAGGCAUAGCAUGGGCUAAUUGUGCUAAGUAAUUUAAGCUAAGUAAUAGAAGGCUGAAGAAGCACAGAUUAUUGCUGAGUGAGCAGAGUUUAUUGCAGUUUAUUAUUUUAAGCAAAAAGUGAAUGAAGCAUCACUAACUUUGAGGAAACUUCUUUUUUUUUUUUUCCUGGUGUAGAACAGUGUUAGUUACUGCAGUGACAGCUAAAGCAGUGUCUGGAGAUUUGUUUCUUGCUGCUUCCAGGGAUAAGUGGAACAGGAUGAUGAUGAACCUCAGUCAUAGUAGUCCAACAAGCCAUCCUUCUGUUCACAGCACUGUGUUUCUGACAGUACGCAGUGCAGAAAAACUUUGAAACAAAAGGAGAGUCUGUGCUGCUGAUCCCACAGAUCUGCUUCAUCCCAUUAACCCUUGUCCUGUUGCUAGAUACAAUAGAAAAAAAGGGAUGUGCCAACCUCCUGACAUCCACAAUUUAUAUACCUGUAAGUAUUAAUGAGAUCUCCCCUCAGUCUCCUCUUCUCCAGACUAAACAGCCCCAGUUCCCACAGCCUUUCCUCAUAAGAAAGAUGUUCCAGUCCCCUGAUCAUCUUGGUGUACUGGACUUUCUCUAGAAGUUCCCUGUCCCUCUUGAGCUGAGGAGCCCAGAACUGGACACAGGACUCAGAUGAGGCCUCAUCAGGGCAGAGUAGAGGGGUAGCAAAACCUCCCUUGACCUGCUGGCCACAAUCUUCUUGAUGCAUCCCAGGAUGCCAUUGGCCUUCUUGGCCAUGAGGGCAUAUGGCUGGCUCAUGAUUUACCUUUUGAAUAGUGGUGUAUGUUGACACGUUUUUUCUUAGAACUUUCUGCCAUGUUUUUCUGCUGUUUUUCUCUGAAUGAUAAUAACAUCACUCUGUACAAUCAUGGUUGCAAAUCUAGUAGUUCUCAAUUAGCAAUAUUAAUUUUUGCUUGCCUCUUUAUUAUGCUGUCCUUUGGUGUGACACAAUCCUCCUGGAGUUCUUCUAGAAGGAGAACAUUCAAGAUGAGAGAGUGGGAAAGGAACAACUUUUUAAAGGCACGUGAGGAAAGGUGCACAAGCAGCACCAGGACAUUACGAAUACAUGUCCCAUUCAAUUCCACUUAACCAGCAAAGAAGGUAAUGUUCUUCUGUCUUUUUUGAGCAAGUAUCCCUGGACCAACAAAAUACAAAGCACUGCCAAUAACAGCUGAAGUUUGGAGUUCAUUAUUUGAAAACUUUUUUUAAAGGGUUAAACUAUGAGGUUGAAAUCUUGAAGGAGAACCUAUUUAAAAUCUGACCAUGAAAGCAAGGGAGGAUCCAUAUUCCUCUCACAUGUAAGUCUUCAGUGAAUGAAACUCAAGGAAAAGCGGAAAUCUUGGAUGGAACUCCACAGUGUUCAAUUGUAUAAGAUAUGAUGAAUAAACAGGCUUACACAAGUAGGGUAGGAUGCAAGGUUUGUGUCAAUCUGUAGGCAGCCUCAUAAUAAACCACGAAGAAGAAUCAUUUGGGCUUUUGCUUUUUUUAUUACUUAAGAAAAAAACAUAAGGUAUUGUCCAGGAAUGUACUUAAUGGACAGACCCAACGUUGAGAGUUUUCCUUCUCUGCACAGAAGAAACUAGUCUCACAAAGCUACUCAUUAGAUAGUUGUCCUGGUUUAGCAAGGAGCAGCUUUUGGCUUAGUAACAGGGGGAGCGGGUUGCAGUGAAGACCCGGUAAAGAGUUUGCGGACUCUCCCCCGGCUCCUGGAUUCAGACCCACCUCCGGCCCGUCUGGGCCAAUCUGGCGCCUCUGCGAUCACUAUUUAAGGGACGGAAAUUGGAAUGUGAGUCAGGAGGUGUAAGAGUGAUACAAGAUGGAGGCGACCACGCGGACUCUUCAGCCAGAGAAGGAGGAAGGAAGGAGGAGCAGUAGACCGGAGACCCUUCUGCAAGCCGUGGUGAGAAUGCAAGCUGUGCCCCUGAAACCUAUGGAGAUCCGUGGCAGGACUGAGAGCCACCAGCAGCUCCAUGUGAGUGAGCCCGGACGGGCGAGGGACUGUGUCGGGAGACGGCCAUGGCCCAGGCUGUACUGGAGAGCCUGUGUGCCUCAGAGCAGCCCCACACGAGAGGCAGAGAGGAGCUGCAGCCUUUGGAAUGGGCGCGCGUCGGAGCAGCCCGUGCAGGGCUGCCAUGUGUGUGAGUUACCCCACGGACUUGCAGGGAGGACUGGUGUGGAGUUCACCCGUCCUGAGGAGGGACAAACAGCAGAAGCUAUCGGGAACAGACUAACUGAAACCCCCACUGCCUGCCCCCCCGAACCGUUCAGGGGGGGGGGCAAGGUAAAAACCCCAGGAUCAGGGCUCUGAGCCCGGGAAGAGGGGAGGUGUGGCGGGAAGGUGUUCUUAAAAAGGCUGGUUGGACUCUUCAUUGACGUAUUCCUCUGUGUUGUUUCGUUUUGGUUAUGUUUUGGGUUUUUGUGGGUAUGUUUUAGUUGAUGUUGCAUUAAAUUAUUUUCUGUUUUCUUCCCCAAA